rnacentral:rRNA from 1 species
GACAGAGGGUGCAAACGUUGCUCGGAAUUACUGGGCGUAAAGCGCGUGUAGGCGGGCUUGUAAGUUGGACGUGAAAGCCCUGAGCUCAACUCAGGAAUUGCAUCCAAAACUACAAGUCUAGAGUGAUGGAGAGGGCAGCAGAAUUCCUGGUGUAGAGGUGAAAUUCGUAGAUAUCAGGAGGAACACCGGUGGCGAAGGCGGCUGCCUGGACAUCAACUGACGCUGAGACGCGAAAGCGUGGGGAGCAAACAGGAUUAGAAACCCCCGUAGUCC